AGCGGCGGACGGGUGAGUAACGCGUGGGUAACCUGCCCUGUACACACGGAUAACAUACCGAAAGGUAUGCUAAUACGAGAUAAUAUGCUUUUAUCGCAUGGUAGAAGUAUCAAAGCUUUUGCGGUACAGGAUGGACCCGCGUCUGAUUAGCUAGUUGGUAAGGUAACGGCUUACCAAGGCGACGAUCAGUAGCCGACCUGAGAGGGUGAUCGGCCACAUUGGAACUGAGACACGGCCCAGACUCCUACGGGAGGCAGCAGUGGGGAAUCUUGCGCAAUGGGGGGAACCCUGACGCAGCGACGCCGCGUGCGGGACGGAGGCCUUCGGGUCGUAAACCGCUUUCAGCAGGGAAGAGUCAAGACUGUACCUGCAGAAGAAGCCCCGGCUAACUACGUGCCAGCAGCCGCGGUAAUACGUAGGGGGCGAGCGUUAUCCGGAUUCAUUGGGCGUAAAGCGCGCGUAGGCGGCCCGGCAGGCCGGGGGUCGAAGCGGGGGGCUCAACCCCCCGAAGCCCCCGGAACCUCCGCGGCUUGGGUCCGGUAGGGGAGGGUGGAACACCCCGGUGUAGCCGUGGAAUGCGCAGAUAUCGGGUGGAACACCGGUGGCGAAGGCGGCCCUCUGGGCCGAGACCGACGCUGAGGCGCGAAAGCUGGGGGAGCGAACAGGAUUAGAUACCCUGGUAGUCCCAGCCGUAAACGAUGAAUGCUAGGUGUCGGGUGACAAAGUCAUUCGGUGCCGCCGCAAACGCAUUAAGCAUUCCACCUGGGGAGUACGUUCGCAAGAAUGAAACUCAAAGGAAUUGACGGGGACCCGCACAAGCGGUGGAGCAUGUGGUUUAAUUCGAAGCAACGCGAAGAACCUUACCAAGUCUUGACAUCCCCCUGACCGGAACUUAACCGUUCCUUUCCUUCGGGACAGGGGAGACAGGUGGUGCAUGGUUGUCGUCAGCUCGUGUCGUGAGAUGUUGGGUUAAGUCCCGCAACGAGCGCAACCCCUAUCCUCAGUAGCCAGCAUAUAAGGUGGGCACUCUGGGGAGACUGCCAGGGAUAACCUGGAGGAAGGCGGGGAUGACGUCAAAUCAUCAUGCCCCUUAUGAUUUGGGCUACACACGUGCUACAAUGGCGUAAACAAAGGGAAGCGAACCUGCGAGGGUGGGCAAAUCCCAAAAAUAACGUCCCAGUUCGGACUGUAGUCUGCAACCCGACUACACGAAGCUGGAAUCGCUAGUAAUCGCGGAUCAGAAUGCCGCGGUGAAUACGUUCCCGGGUCUUGUACUCACCGCCCGUCA
rnacentral:rRNA from 1 species